rnacentral:rRNA from 1 species
AUGUUCCGCAACCCGCGCCGCGCCGCCCUGCUCCUCGCCGCCGGCGCCGCCGCAGCGGGUGCCGGGCGCCUCCACGACCGCGGCGAAUCCGCCACGGUCGUCACCGUGUCUGCCUCCGCGCCGCUCCGCCAUCUCCUGUCCACCGCCGCCACGGGGCUCAUCUCCAGCAACCCCCUCCUCGCGCCGUGGCAAGGGGGUUUCCCUAUACUAAACUCUUUUGCAUCUGCAUCGGUUCCACCCACAAACCCGAUCAACCAUGCCUCUGGUGGAAACUCUGAUGAUUCGAGAUGUUGCCCAGGAUGUCUAGGCAGAAACUCAAUUGCCAAUGCCGCAGCUGCAGUUGGUCCUGCUGUGGUGAAUAUUUCUUGUAUGCAAGAAAAUGGAUGGUUGCGAGAGAAGAGCCUUGGAUCAGGGACUAUAAUAGAUCCAGAUGGGACCAUAUUGACAUGUGCCCAUCUUGUUACAGAUUUUCAAAGCACAAAACCAGGUCUAAAGGGGAAGGUUAGUGUGAGUUUACAAGAUGGUCGUGAAUUUGAAGGCGUAGUUCUCAAUUUUGACCACCACUCAGAUAUCGCUGUUCUGAAGAUCAAGUCCAAGACACCUUUACCAGCUGCAAGACUUGGAUCCUCAUGUAAGCUUCGACCAGGUGACUGGGUUGUUGCUUUGGGCUGCCCACUUUCUCUUCAGAAUACAGUUACAGCUGGCAUUGUAAGUUGUGUUGACCGGAAAAGUAGUGAUCUGGGUCUUGGAGGAAUACGAAGGGAGUAUCUGCAAACAGAUUGUGCCAUCAAUAUCGGUAACUCUGGAGGUCCUCUUGUGAACCUCGAUGGCGAGAUCAUUGGAGUUAAUGUGAUGAAACUUAGGGAUGCUGAUGGUUUGAGCUUUUCAGUACCGAUUGACUAUGUCGUGAAAAUAGUGGAGCACUUCAAGAAAAAUGGGAGAGUUGUACGCCUGUGGCUUGGUUUGAAGAUGCUUGAUCUUAAUCCAAUGGUCAUUGCGCAACUUAAAGAAAGAUCAAGUUCUUUCCCAGAUGUAAGCAAAGGUGUGCUUGUUCCAAUGGUUACACCAGGCUCGCCAGCCGAACGUGCAGGAUUUGCUCCUGGGGACGUAGUCACUGAAUUUGAUGGUAAACCAGUGGAAACGAUCAAAGAGAUUAUUGGUAUCAUGGGCGACAAGGUUGGAGUGCCAUUUAAAGUUCUUGUUAAAAGGGCGAACAAUGUACCUGUGACUUUGACAGUUACGCCGGAGGAAGCAGAUGCCAGCAGAUGA